CAAAGUCGUCUUCUUGUUCCUCAAUGUUACGUUAGGGUUUGCAGAGUUCCUCUUUGAUCUCUAACCAUUGCGUCUUUCUGUUCUGAAUUGUGACACAAACCCAAUAGGAUAUUGCAAUUCACCUCAUACCUUCGUUUCUGCAACUCCCCAAAUUCAAUUGUAUCAACUGCACCGUGCUGGGUAUCAUCACGAACCUUUUCAUUCUUAGUUGGAACUUAUGGAUCAGGAAGCUGAGAAUAGCAGCACUGUGAAGAAAAGGAUUUCAGCAUGUAAUAUUGAGGCUUUGAGAAAGUGCUUGGAAGAGAAUAAUGGGGAUUACUUCAAAUGUCAAUCACAUAUUGAGGCUUUUAAGGAAUCAUGCUCACUGAAGAAACCAAAUCCCUCUCUUGAUUCUGCACCACCUCUCAAGACAAGUGUUGGAAAUUAAGUUAAAUGAAAUGAAUUUUGAGCACCUCCAAAGAUGUUAUAUGUACUGAUAUACAAUGAUUCUUGAGAAAAUAUUAAUGUUCUCAAGUUGUGGCUUUAUACAAUAAUAAAUUUCAUGAGCUUAAUCAGUGAUUGUUUUGGAUGAAAAUCGACAUUAUGCAGAUUGAGUCAGAUGUUUUGGCCACACUUUUGUGGCAUUGAA